GGACUACAGGGGUUUCUAAUCCUGUUUGCUCCCCGCACUUUCGCGCCUCAGCGUCAGUCAUCGGCUGGAAGUUCGCCUUCGCCACCGGUGUUCUUCCUGAUAUCUACAGAUUUCACCCCUACACCAGGAAUUCCAACUCCCCCUCCAUGACUCAAGUCGUACAGUUUCUAACGCAAUCCAGGAGUUAAGCUCCUGACUUUCACGCCAGACUUGCACAACCGCCUACGCGCCCUUUACGCCCAAUAAUUCCGAACAACGCUCGCCCCUUACGUGUUACCGCGGCUGCUGGCAC
rnacentral:rRNA from 1 species